rnacentral:tRNA from 1 species
ACCUGGCCGGCUUAGUUGGUAGAGCAUGUGACUCUUGAUCUCGGGGUUGUGAGUUCGAGCCCCACGGUGGGUG